rnacentral:misc_RNA from 1 species
UUUCCGUAGGUGAACCUGCGGAAGGAUCAUUAAAAAUGAAGCCGGGACACCGGUCUUUCUAACCUUGGAUUAUCUUAGUUUGUUGCUUUGGUGGGCCGCCCAAGCACCGGCUUCGGCUGGAUCGUGCCCGCCAGAGGACACCACGCUGUAUCAAAUGUCGGCUGAGUACUAUAAAAUAGUUAAAACUUUCAACAACGGAUCUCUUGGUUCUG